rnacentral:misc_RNA from 1 species
ACAAAAGACAAGAUCAAUAAAGACCUUGUGCCCACAUUAGGUUCCAUAUUCAAGCUGCCAAGCAACACUCCAUGAGCCAACCUAUCGUUGAAUGAGCAACAACAAGGUGGAUCACAAAAAUUGCUUCGAUGUUCGUUAACGCCGCAAGCGACGCAUUGCGAAACUAAACUUCAUUCAAGCCAAACAAUGCCUUCGAUUAGGUAUGCAACACAGUAACCCGCUAAAUGCUCACAGCAGACAAGCCAUGAGCACAAUUGAAAAGGUAAGAACGCAUGGAAGUUGCUGCUCAAGCAGACAUCCAACCACCCGUAACAAACCAAACACCACUCAUGCACCUUUAUGGUAGACAUUCCCGAAGAUCGCCAACUAAUAGCCACCCUCUCGGCAACAAGGCCAAGAAAA